AGUUCGGAUCGCAGGCUGCAACCCGCCUGCGUGAAGUCGGAAUCGCUAAUAAUCGCGGAUCAGCAUGCCGCGGUGAAUACGUUCCCGGGCCUUGUACACACCGCCCGUCACACCAUGAGAGUCGGGAACACCCGAAGUCCGUAGCCUAACCGUAAGGAGGGCGCGGCCGAAGGUGGGUUCGAUAAUUGGGGUGAAGUCGUAACAAGGUACC
rnacentral:rRNA from 1 species